rfam:Columba livia unplaced genomic scaffold scaffold161, whole genome shotgun sequence.
GCUCUGUAGUCCAAGAGGUGCCCUUGGUUGUCAGUACUCUGGGCAUACCAGGCUUGCAGAGAGAGCACCUGCGUGAGGAAGCCGAGGCAUGCCUGGCCGAGUCGCAGCAGCAACGUGCGCAAUAUUCCUCUGACAGCCACAAUUCUGUUGCCACGGAGAUAAUGACUUAUCCCAUGUCAUUAUUGAUCCAUCAACAGUAAGAGCAACUUUGCAGUCUGAUAUUGUUUAGCAAAUAGAGUAACAUCUGCUGAACACUAAAAAACUGCUAUAAAU